rnacentral:sRNA from 1 species
CUUACAAGUUUUUUGCGAUUCCCAGAAAAUUGAACUUAAAAAUUUGCUGAAAUUGCAACUGUUUCGCUGAAAAUUUAGAUUAUCAAAGAAAUCCAUCCACCCGCCAUCAAAACAAAACAAACACAAAGCAAUUCACUUAACUCCGGAACUUAGGCGCUACUUAAAAAAUGCUCAAAUCAAAUCGAGAUGUAAGCAGCAAAUAAUUUCAAGGCGUGACGAAACAUGUUGAAAUGCACAACUCGGUAACCGCCUCUGAUCGACAGCAACUUGUGCGGAAACCAGCGACGGCCGGGACGCGUGCAACACACUCAGCUCGAAUCACUCUCUCUCUCUCUCUCUCUCUCUCUCUGGUUCUCCGGCUGGUCUUGUACACGUUUUUCUACUCGCUGCGCUGGCGGGUGCCGCGCUCUGCUCUGCUCUGGUUUUUUUUUCCUUUCGUCUUUUUUGACAACUCAACUGACGCAUUGCCCAAUGGGGGAAGUGGCGUGCUGUGGGUGUGGGUGCGCGUUGCGCCUUUGGCUAUGCCUGCCACAACUAGCACAAAUGCAGCGACUCACACGGCGACAUCAUCAAUCUAAAAAAUGUUGAAAAAUCUCAGUGGCUGUGCAGGAGGAAGAGAAAGAGCAGGAGGAGGUGGAGGGGACACGGGUCUCUGGUAUUUGGUAUUUUUAAAAUGCAUGUUAAAUGUCCAUGCCUUUCGCUUUUCAACUGGAUAUUUGAUGGAGUGGCGGCGCUACGAAAGCAUUUCAUGGGAAAGUGUUAUAAUUCAAAUGAUUCGUUCAGUCAUUGUAAUUGAUUUUUAUAAUCUGAGUGAGUGAAGGGUAUGUUGUGGCUUAAAUUUAAUUUUACUAUAUCGCUGGCGUGUUGACCUGAAAACUCGUGACGGAUAAUUAAUAAGAGAUUAAAACUCGUUGUCUCUGUGAUUAAUGUCUUUCUCAUGACCUGAGAGAAAGGAGAUAUAUGAUUACAUAGCUUAUGAGAAUCGCAAAGAAAGGCAGUGGGUCUGAGAUAUGGAGAUCGAACAAGCAAUGAAUUAGUGAUGGAAUGGGAACUAUAUAGCGAAUGUGUGUAGGAUAUUCAUGUCAAGUCAUCAAACAAUAAAUGAUCAAUGGAACAAGCUGAACUGUAUAUAGUAUAUACCCUCCACUCAGUGAUUCGCCCAGCAAAACUAAUUACAAAGCUGAACCACAAAGCAAGAAUUUACCCAAAAUGAUUUUGGCACAACCGAAAAGCUGAAACCAGCAGCCGCAAUCAACAGCGCAGGAGUAAACGCUGCAUAAAAAGCAGGCGGCAACUACAACAAGAACUGGUGGAAACCAACAAAACCACUCGACAUGUCAACUGAAAUAGAAAUGGAGACGCCAGCACACGGAUCCGUAGACAAGGUCUAACUUUUUGGCUCUGGCUGGAGUGACAUGAAAAGGACAUGUCACACCGUAUGCGCACAUUAAGUGUAGCCACAAUUUAUCAAGCCGCAUAAAUCUAAAUAGAGUCUGGGAGAGUUGGCAGUCGCUUGCAUGGGCGCAUCAAAAAGUCAAAAAGCUAAUUUGCAUUUAAAAGGACAGCAGCAAGAGCAGCAACGGAGCGGACCAACAAUGAUGCUGACGUAGCCGCCAUCACAGCCAUCAGAGCCAUCGCCUGGCCAUGCAUGCAAAAUAUUUUAAGCAAUAUUUUCAAUUUAAUAAGCCAAGAUAAAUGAAGGGCAGAGCAGAAAGUGGAGAGAGGACCACACCA